CGACCUCAGAGUAGGUGAGACUACCC
rnacentral:rRNA from 1 species